AUGAACGCUGACAGAAUGCUUAACACCUGCAAGUCAACUUGAAUUUGGGCUUUUUAACUUAGAUUUGGGUGGCGGACGGGUGAGUAACGCGUAAAGAACUUGCCUCCCAGCUAGGGACAACAUUUGGAAACGAAUGCUAAUACCUGAUAUUAUGAUUAUAAGGCAUCUUAGAAUUAUGAAAGCUAUAUGCGCUGUGAGAGAGCUUUGCGUCCCAUUAGCUAGUUGGAGAGGUAACGGCUCACCAAGGCGAUGAUGGGUAGCCGGCCUGAGAGGGUGAACGGCCACAAGGGGACUGAGACACGGCCCUUACGCCUACGGGAGGCAGCAGUGGGGAAUAUUGGACAAUGGACCAAGAGUCUGAUCCAGCAAUUCUGUGUGCACGAUGACGUUUUUCGGAAUGUAAAGUGCUUUCAGUUGGGAAGAAAAAAAUGACGGUACCAACAGAAGAAGUGACGGCUAAAUACGUG
rnacentral:rRNA from 1 species